UUGCGCAGCAUAGGUGGGAGGCAGAGAAUAUAUAUUUGCGGAUGUAUAAGAGCCAUUAGUGAGAUACCACUCUGAUUAAACUAGAAUUCUAAUAUUGAUUGCCAUAAGCUGGCCAAUAAACAGUUUCAGGUGGGCAGUUUGACUGGGGCGGUCGCCUCCUAAAAGGUAACGGAGGCGUGCAAAGGUUUCCUCAGGCUGGUCGGAAAUCAGUCGUAGAGUAUAAAGGUAUAAGGAAGCUUGACUGCGAGACAUACAAGUCGAGCAGAGACGAAAGUCGGCCUUAGUGAUCCGACAGUACUG
rnacentral:rRNA from 2 species